AACGCACAUUGCGCCCUUUGGUAUUCCGAAGGGCAUGCCUGUUCGAGCGUCAUUACACCUCUCAAGCCCUGCUUGGUAUUGGGCUCUCGUCCCCCGGGACGUGCCCGAAAAUCAGUGGCGGUGCAGCCUGACUUCAAGCGUAGUAACUUAAAAACCCGCUUCGGAAGCCUUCAGGUUGGAUCUACCAGACAACCCAACUAUUUUUCUAUGGUUGACCUCGGAUCAGGUAGGGAUACCCGCUGAACUUAA
rnacentral:misc_RNA from 1 species